AUACAAUAGUUCAUCUCUUCUACUUCUUCACUUUAGUGAAAGUGAAGAAGUAGAAGAGAUGAACUAUUGUAUG
rnacentral:pre_miRNA from 1 species